GUAGGUGGCAAGCGUUGUCCGGGAAGUUAUUGGGCGUAAAGCGCGCGGCUAGGGCGGUCCUUUAAGUCUGAUGUCGAAAGCCCACGGCUGAACCGUGAGGGUCAUUGGAAACUGGGGGACUUGAGUACAGAAGAGGAAAGCGGAAUUCCAAGUGUAGACGGUGAAAUGCGUAGAGAUUUGGAGGAACACCAGUGGCGAAGGCGGCUUUCUGGUCUGUAACUGACGCUGAGGCGCGAAAGCGUGGGGAGCAAACAGGAUUAGAUACCCUGGUAGUCCACGCCGUAAACGAUGAGUGCUAAGUGUUAGGGGGUUUCCGCCCCUUAGUGCUGCAGCUAACGCAUUAAGCACUCCGCCUGGGGAGUACGGCCGCAAGGCUG
rnacentral:rRNA from 1 species